UCGUUGCUAUUUUGGUGGUUUUGAGCCCAGAUUUGGGUUUAGAGGGGUCGAGAGGGCCAAACCAGGGAUUUCUUUUUUUUCGGCCACCACAGUCGGCAUUGCCGGCGCCGGAGAUUGGUGGCCGGUGCGGUGGUCGGUGAUCGUCUGAUGAUCGGCCAAUGGCCGGAGGACAGAGGGGUUGAGAGAGAGUUUUAAAGGCUUUUUGUUUUUUUUUUAACUGGUUUUGAAAUGAAGUUUUUUUUGAAGGAAAGAGGCUUAUAUACGGCACCUAAACGGUGCCGUUUUGGAAAGCCUCCAGACGUGCAAAAUGACAUCGUUUUGAGGCGUCUGACCCGAAUUUGACCCGACCCAAUUUUAG
rnacentral:lncRNA from 1 species